GACAGAGGUGCCGAGCGUUAGGCGGAAUCACUGGGCUUAAAGCGUGUGUAGGUGGAUGCCUAAGUACCUUGUGAAAUCCCACGGCUUAACCGUGGAACUGCUCGGUAUACUGGGUGUCUUGAGCCAGCUAGGGGCUACCGGAACAAAUGGUGGAGCGGUGAAAUGCGUAGAUAUCAUUUGGAACGCCAAUGGUGAAAACAGGUAGCUGGGGCUGUGCUGACACUGAGACACGAAAUCCAGGGGAGCGAACGGG
rnacentral:rRNA from 1 species